rnacentral:rRNA from 1 species
CCUACGGGUGGCAGCAGUAGGGAAUAUUGCUCAAUGGGGGAAACCCUGAAGCAGCAACGCCGCGUGGAGGAUGAAGGUUUUCGGAUUGUAAACUCCUUUUGUUAGAGAAGAUAAUGACGGUCUCUGACGAAUAAGCACCGGAUAACUCCGUGCCAGCAGCCGCGGUAAUACGGCGGGUGCAAGCGUCACUCGGAAUCACUGGGCGUAAAGAGCGCGUAGGCGGGAUAGCAAGUCAGAUGUGAAAUCCUAUGGCUUAACCAUAGAACUGCAUUUGAAACUGUUAUGCUAGAGUAUGGGAGAGGUAGGUGGAAUGCUUGGUGUAGGGGUAAAAUCCGUAGAGAUCAAGAGGAAUACUCAUUGCGAAGGCGACCUGCUAGAACAUAACUGACGCUCAUGCACGAAAGUGUGGGUAUCGAACAGGAUUAGAUACCCGUGUAGUC